ensembl:lincRNA
AAAUCACUGGCCAUCAGUGUCCCUGGAAGUCCCUAAGAAAGCCUUGCAGAAUCUGCAGCUUGUUGGGAAUCUGAAACUGCCAAUAAAAUCAAUAUUGUGCCUGGAGUAGAUGAUAAAUCUGAAGAAAAAGAUUACUCCAUUGAUUCAGAGCUAAACACCGACACUGAACUCUGCUGUUAUAGAGCAUAUCAUACAGAAAGCUUAUCCAAGAGAAGUCCUAUCAUAUUCAUCAACAACGUCGAAAGUAGCCUACUUUAAGAGAAAAUAUGCAGAAGAAGAAGAUCUACAUCAAGAUUCCCAUGGGUAUUUUCCAAAACACCUGAUAUUACCGGAAGACAGGACUUGUAUCCUCAAACUUUCCCUAGAGAAGCUCAGGUUUCUUGAAGACCCAGAAACCUACCUAAGAAGGUCUGUGUUAAUUAACAAUUUGCUGAGGAAGAUACACCUAGAGACGGAGAAAGAGAGCUAUGAAUACUUCAAGGAAGCUCCCUGCUAUAAGACUGCUUAUUCUGAUACGAGAAAACGGCUGAAGUUUAUGGUACAGGAGUGCUGUUCCCAGUCUCUCUACUAUGAAGAGCUGCACUCCUACCACAUUGUGCCUUACACUUCGGAGAGUACCAUCUAUGGGAUGGGCUACACUGGUGACCACUUGGAGCAAAAUUCUCAGUUGCUCAUUUAUAAAAUGAAUUAAAAAGUAACUGUUAAGUUC